rnacentral:rRNA from 1 species
GACGAACGCUGGCGGCGUGCUUAACACAUGCAAGUCGAGCGGUAAGGCCCUUUCGGGGGUACACGAGCGGCGAACGGGUGAGUAACACGUGGGUGACCUGCCCUUAGCUCUGGGAUAAGCCUGGGAAACUGGGUCUAAUACCGGAUAUGACUCCAUGACGCAUGUUGUGGGGUGGAAAGCCUUGUGCGGCUAGGGAUGGGCCCGCGGCCUAUCAGCUUGUUGGUGGGGUGAUGGCCUACCAAGGCGACGACGGGUAGCCGGCCUGAGAGGGCGACCGGCCACACUGGGACUGAGACACGGCCCAGACUCCUACGGGAGGCAGCAGUGGGAAUCUUGCGCAAUGGGCGAAAGCCUGACGCAGCGACGCCGCGUGAGGAUGACGGCCU